UUCAACUUCUUCCACAUACGCCCAAGCCAGUCUUCCCGAGCAUCACGGGAGAGCUCUUUCUCCUUAUCCCCUGCUCCCAGCCGAAUCUAUCAUCCUCAUCCCGUAGCAACCCAAAUCUCCCAAUCAACUCCUCCCAGCUUCCGAUCUCUUCUUCCUUUGGAACAGAGCAUCAGCCGUUCACAACAACCACGGUUUUCCCCUCUGUUGAAACAGAUCCCAUCUCCUCCCGUAUCCCAUGAACAAAAACCAAGCCUUGCAUCCUUAUCCAGCCAACGGCAGCACUUCCAAACUCCCCAGCUCCCCUGUUCAGAGUUCAUCUCAGCCGUGAACAACAACCCAACGUUUUCCGGACCAUCAUCCACCUUCGAAUCACCUCCCCUGUUCCCAAC
rnacentral:lncRNA from 1 species